rnacentral:rRNA from 1 species
AGCAGCCGCGGUAAUUCCAGCUCCAAUAGCGUAUAUUAAAGUUGUUGCAGUUAAAAAGCUCGUAGUUGAAUUUCGGGGUCAAUACGUCGGUCGUGCCUUCGGUACGUACUGGUGUUAUUGAUCUCUCCCUUCUGAUGAGUCAUGAUGUCAUUAAUUUGGUGUCGUGGGGAGUCAGGACUGUUACUUUGAAAAAAUUAGAGUGUUUAAAGCAGGCUCACGCUUGAAUACAUUAGCAUGGAAUAAUGAAAUAGGACGUUCGAUCCUAUUUUGUUGGUUUCUAGGAUCAACGUAAUGAUUAAUAGGGAUAGUUGGGGGCAUUAGUAUUCAAUUGUCAGAGGUGAAAUUCUUGGAUUUAUUGAAGACUAACUACUGCGAAAGCAUUUGCCAAGGAUGUUUUCAUUAAUCAAGAACGAAAGUUAGGGGAUCGAAGACGAUCAGAUACCGUCGUAG